AGUGAACGCUGGCGGUAGGCCUAACACAUGCAAGUCGAACGGCAGCACAGUAAGAGCUUGCUCUUACGGGUGGCGAGUGGCGGACGGGUGAGGAAUACAUCGGAAUCUACUUUUUCGUGGGGGAUAACGUAGGGAAACUUACGCUAAUACCGCAUACGACCUACGGGUGAAAGCAGGGGAUCUUCGGACCAUGCGCGAUUGAAUGAGCCGAUGUCGGAUUAGCUAGUUGGCUGGGUAAAGGCCCACCAAGGCGACGAUCCGUAGCUGGUCUGAGAGGAUGAUCAGCCACACUGGAACUGAGACACGGUCCAGACUCCUACGGGAGGCAGCAGUGGGGAAUAUUGGACAAUGGGCGCAAGCCUGAUCCAGCCAUACCGCGUGGGUGAAGAAGGCCUUCGGAUUGUAAAGCCCUUUUGUUGGGAAAGAAAAGCAGCAGGUUAAUACCCCGCUGUUCUGACGGUACCCAAAGAAUAAGCACCGGCUAACUUCGUG
rnacentral:rRNA from 1 species